UACGAAGGGGGCUAGCGUUGCUCGGAAUCACUGGGCGUAAAGCGCACGUAGGCGGAUCUUUAAGUCAGGGGUGAAAUCCUGGAGCUCAACUCCAGAACUGCCUUUGAUACUGAGGAUCUCGAGUCCGGAGAGGUGAGUGGAACUGCGAGUGUAGAGGUGAAAUUCGUAGAUAUUCGCAAGAACACCAGUGGCGAAGGCGGACUCACUUGGCCCGGUACGUGACGCUGAGGUGCGAAAGCGUGGGGAGCA
rnacentral:rRNA from 1 species